GCUGGCGGCGUGCCUAACACAUGCAAGUCGCACGAGAAAGGGUAGCAAUGCCUGAGUAAAGUGGCGCACGGGUGAGUAACACGUGAAUAAUCUACCUCCGAGUGGGGAAUAACUGAGAGAAAUCUUAGCUAAUACCGCAUAACACUUACGAGUCAAAGCAGCAAUGCGCUUGGAGAGGAGUUCGCGGCAGAUUAGUUAGUUGGCGGGGUAAUGGCCCACCAAGACGAUGAUCUGUAUCCGGCCUGAGAGGGCGCACGGACACACUGGAACUGAAACACGGUCCAGACUCCUACGGGAGGCAGCAGUGGGGAAUUUUGCGCAAUGGGGGAAACCCUGACGCAGCAACGCCGCGUGGAGGAUGAAAUCCCUUGGGAUGUAAACUCCUUUCGAUAGGGAAGAUAAUGACGGUACCUAUAGAAGAAGCCCCGGCUAACUUCGUGCCAGCAGCCGCGGUAAUACGAGGGGGGCAAGCGUUGUUCGGAUUUAUUGGGCGUAAAGGGUGCGUAGGCGGUUUGGCAAGUCUUGUGUGAAAUCUUUGGGCUCAACCCAAAGUCUGCAUAAGAAACUGCCGGGCUUGAGUAUGGGAGAGGUGAGUGGAAUUUCCGGUGUAGCGGUGAAAUGCGUAGAUAUCGGAAGGAACACCUGUGGCGAAAGCGGCUCACUGGACCAUUACUGACGCUGAGGCACGAAAGCUAGGGGAGCAAACAGGAUUAGAUACCCUGGUAGUCCUAGCCCUAAACGAUGAUUGCUUGAUGUGGCAGGUACCCAAUCCUGCCGUGUCGAAGCUAACGCGAUAAGCAAUCCGCCUGGGGAGUACGGUCGCAAGGCUGAAACUCAAAGGAAUUGACGGGGGCCCGCACAAGCGGUGGAGCAUGUGGUUUAAUUCGACGCAACGCGAAGAACCUUACCUGGGCUCGAAAUGUAGUGGAAUCCGGCAGAAACGUCGGCGUCUAGCAAUAGACCGCUAUAUAGGUGCUGCAUGGCUGUCGUCAGCUCGUGUCGUGAGAUGUUGGGUUAAGUCCCGCAACGAGCGCAACCCUUAUCUACAGUUGCUACCAUUUAGUUGAGCACUCUGUCGAAACCGCCUCGGAUAACGGGGAGGAAGGUGGGGAUGACGUCAAGUCCUCAUGGCCUUUAUGUCCAGGGCUACACACGUGCUACAAUGGCCGGUACAAACCGCUGCAAACCCGCGAGGGGGAGCUAAUCGGAAAAAGCCGGCCUCAGUUCGGAUUGGAGUCUGCAACUCGACUCCAUGAAGCUGGAAUCGCUAGUAAUCGUGGAUCAGCAUGCCACGGUGAAUACGUUCCCGGGCCAA
rnacentral:rRNA from 1 species